rnacentral:rRNA from 1 species
AGAAUCAACGCUGGCGGCGUGCCUAACACAUGCAAGUCGAACGAGAAAGGGACUUCGGUCCUGAGUAAAGUGGCGCACGGGUGAGUAACACGUGACUAACCUACCCUUGAGUGGGGAAUAACUUCGAGAAAUCGAGGCUAAUUCCGCAUAAUACCUACGGGUCAAAGGAGCAAUUCGCUUAAGGAGGGGGUCGCGGCAGAUUAGCUAGUUGGCGGGGUAAUGGCCCACCAAGGCAGUGAUCUGUA